GACGAACGCUGGCGGCGUGCUUAACACAUGCAAGUCGAACGGAAGGGCCCUGCUUUUGUGGGGUGCUCGAGUGGCGAACGGGUGAGUAACACGUGAGUAACCUGCCCUUGACUUUGGGAUAACUUCAGGAAACUGGGGCUAAUACCGGAUAGGAGCUCCUGCUGCAUGGUGUGGGUUGGAAAGUUUCGGCGGUUGGGGAUGGACUCGCGGCUUAUCAGCUUGUUGGUGGGGUAGUGGCUUACCAAGGCUUUGACGGGUAGCCGGCCUGAGAGGGUGACCGGCCACAUUGGGACUGAGAUACGGCCCAGACUCCUACGGGAGGCAGCAGUGGGGAAUAUUGCACAAUGGGCGGAAGCCUGAUGCAGCAACGCCGCGUGCGGGAUGACGGCCUUCGGGUUGUAAACCGCUUUCGCCUGUGACGAAGCGUGAGUGACGGUAAUGGGUAAAGAAGCACCGGCUAACUACGUG
rnacentral:rRNA from 1 species